GUUCUGUGAGCUCAGUUGGUAGAGCAUGGCAUUUGCAACACCAUGGUUGUGGGUUUGAUUCCCACUGGGGACA
rfam:Salmo salar isolate Sally breed double haploid chromosome ssa02, whole genome shotgun sequence.